UAGGUUCAAGUCUCGAUCAGAAAACUAAAAAGUUUGGCUAAUGAGGCUUAAAAUUAAUCAGGUAUUGUGAUUUGGUUGAACCAGUGCUGCUGCUAGCCAGCUAAUGCAUGCCUUGCAUGCAGUACAAAAUAAGCAUAGAAGAUAAAAAAGAACUUCAACUUUUCAAACCUGCCACCCACAUAUGACUGGUUUUUAUGGGACCCUUUACUUUGCUUCACCAGACAGAACCCAUCUCACCUCUACUCCUCAAUACUCACUACUCACCAAACCCAAAAACCCCACAACCCGGCCUUAAUUUCUCUGUCUCACUCUCAUUCACACUCUUUCACUACUUCGAUCACCGACUAACAGCUCAUUUGUGUCGCUGAAAGUUGCAAGCUUUUUAAGCUUUUGGGGUUCUUCUUCUUGUUUUUGUUGGACCCUUUUCGUUUUUUGUGUGCAAUGGAGGAUGGUGACUGGGUUCUGGUGCGGCCGCCUGCAGAGGAGGACCUCUGGACAAUAUGCCAUCUUAUAGAGGUGGGAUAAACACACUUUUGCAUUCUGGGGAACAAAUGUUGGACUUAAUGGAUCAUAUGAAGAGCAUUCUUGUAGAUGCUUGUAAUGUUGAAAGCUGAGAGCUAGAUUAAUUCAUCUGCUUAAUGAUGAUGAUGAAUUUAUUUUUUCCACUGUGCUUCAGCCUAUGCAAAUGUUGUUUCCUAUAUCUGUUUAGUGCUGCUUCUUUAGAGUGUAAAGAGUUCAGAAUAAAUCAAUAAAGAAGGUGAAAGGAUGUUUAAAUA